AUAAUGUAUACAAAGAGAUUAGUUUGCUGCUUAGCUACUGGUUAAGGGAAGCAUCUCUGGUGUGUUUUGAGUCUGGUCCAUGUGAUUAAUGAUGUCACAAUGCCCUACUAGACUCCGACUUCUCCAUUAGGGAGUUGCGGAUCCUUUGGAGCCAAGGAAUGGAACUGACAUGCAAGAUCUCUAUCAACUGAAGGUUUCAUGAGCACGCUCCUUUGCCAAGAUCUUGGUGAAUAGUCUCUCACUGUGCGAUUAUAUUUUAGAAAUUAUUUUCCUUUUUAUCAUGAUUGUACUUGGCUGGAUGCUUUUUGUUGGAUUUGCAUGUUACAUGGGCACAUUUCCAGAGUUUGUGCCUCCACCUCUAAAGUGGAAACAGAAGUGGCCCAUUCGUGAGAGCAAGGCACGACGGAGGAGCCGGGCUUUGGAGGAAGAUCUGUCACUGAUUUCCAAGAGAGCAUUGGCCCAAAGGAGUCAGACCUUUGUGAGGAGCGUGGGGAUGUGGAUGGAAGAACUGAAAACAUAUUUAGCUGAGACAUUGCCACAUUGUGUAAUCCUGAUCACUUAAACAACUCUAUGCCUAUUUCUUCAGCUGUGAAAUGAACAUAAUAGUCCAUCUUUCUUGUCUUCUUUUCCCACAGUAGUUGUAAGGUUUAUGCUGCCUGAUGAAAAUUGCAUUUCACAAAAUGCAAGAAUUUUCCUUUUUGAACAGCCUAACAAUAGCAUUAAAGUUAAUUGCUCAUAGUAUACCUAACCAGUUAAUUCCUUCAAUAAAUCCAGGAUGGUUUUGUUUUUUUUGAAUAGUGAUUUUUUUUUUGUAUCAGAUUGUUAAAGCCACUAGUUAUAUAUUUUAGUAUGCAAUGAGUUGUUAUUAAGGAUGUGAUGUUACUGAGAUCCUAAACAGUCACUAGAGUAUAAGGGCCCUUUUGAUAAGGUUUCUUUAGCUCCAACAUAUGUGGCAUCCUGGCCAACCAUCCCAUAGCUGUGCACUGUGAUUUUUUUUUCCAUAGUGUCACAGGGGCUGAUGUCACAAUUGGUAUCUGAGCCCUGCCCCCCAAAAUGGCCAUGGAGAGCCAUUUUAGUUUAGAGUAGACCCCAGAGACCCUCAACCAGGAGCUGUCAUGCUGGGCCAUCCAUCCUCUAGUCUCUAAUGAAGACAGCCCAGUUCCCAGAACUCAGGGAAUAGAACACUACCUUCCAGAACCACCCAUUUCCCUAGGCACACACCACCAGCUGAGCAAGAAGCCCCACAAUGAUCGUUAUCUUAUGGUUGCUUCUCAUUGCAGGAACGAUGUGGAAGGGAUUUAAAUAUCCCCCAGGAGGGACCCCUGUGGAAGUAAGCAAGGAUGAUCCUGGUGAAGUAAUGCAGCUCUGAAGCUCACCUGACUAGCUGUACAGUUCCUGUUGUUGGUUUCUCAUAAAGUAAUUGCACAUUAUUUUGUCAUAUUUUAUGUCCAGUUCCGCACUUUUUAAGAUGAACAAAGACGGUAUUAUUAUAACAGGAAGGUAGAGGGUAAGAAGGUGGUAGGAGAUGAUUGGGUCCCUUCCAAGGCAAUUUUGUGUCCCCUACUCAAUUUCCUUAAGGAUAGAAAUUUCUAGAGCUCUUUAGACCUACUUUCCAAAUAAUAUUCUCCUCCUAAGUACUGUUAACAAAAAAGGGCUAGAGGUUACAGCAACUUUAAGCCUGUUCUUUGUAGGCAUUUCUCUGUAGCCUUUUUAGUUAUUACUAAGAACACAAAGUUUACCCCAUGUGGGGAAAGGAACUCAUUUUAAAAUUGAGAACAGAUACUAAAAUAUACAUAUUAGCCUUCCGAAACUGGGUGUUAACUUUGCAAUGUGGCAGAAAUUGAGAGGCUUAAAUAUCUUUCCAACAUAGCUCUAGGCCGAAGUCAAGAUUAAGACCCAGGCCUUGUCCAGUACAUGCUUUUAUGUGCUAAGGCAAGUCCAAUGAGAAUGACUGGGAUAUCUUGAGAUUUUGUUACCUAAAUGUCUAUCACCUGAAGACAAGAAGCUGCCUGAUAAUUCCUCAAAGCCAGUAUAUGCAGACAUAAAAGCUAACGGCUCAGACCUCCAUAUGGUACAGAGUAGUUUAUGAAACCGGGAUGGAAACUGAGUUAAGAAACCUAUUUGAUUAAUAAAUUUAAGUGUAGGAACACUAGAAUUUUGGGGGGGAUGCUGGGGAUUGACUACAGGGUCUCUCACAUGCCAGGCUAGCAUUUUACCACUGAGCUACAUCCCUAGCCCUGAACCCUAGGAUCUUUAUAAGCCCUCUGAAAGUGGUUUGAGGAUUUCAAUUAACACUCAGGAAGUGGGAACACAGGUUAGGGAUUGUAAUUCUAAUGCUCUAGAGAACUGCAUCCUUUCCAGCAAAGCAGAUAUUUUGGUUAGAGUGUCAAUGGUUUGGAUGUGAGAUGUCCCCAAAAGGUUCAUAUGAAAAAUGCAAGAAUGCUCAGAGGUAAAAUGAUCAGAUUAUAAGAGCUUUAACCUAAUCAGUGGCUUAAUGGUUUAAUUAAUCUGAGUGGAUUACUAGGUUAGGUAACUAAUAGACAGGUGAGAUGUGGCUAGAGGAAGCAGGUCAUUGGGGUGCCUUUGGGGAUUAUAUAUUUUGUCCCUGGCUCCUCUCUUCUUCUUCCUUCUGAGUUGCCAUGAGCUUAGCAGCUUUUCUCUGCCCACCUUUUUGUCAUGUUAUUCUGCCUCACUAUGGUCCCAGAACAAUGGAAUCAGCUGACCAUGGACUGAGACUUAGUGAAACUGAGUCCAAAAUAAACUAGUCAGUUUGGUUAUAGUGACAAAAAGCUCACACAAGAUUACUUGGUACAUGUUUACUAAACUAUUUGUAAGUGGCUCUUCACAAUGAAUGGAUUUUUCUUUUUAUGAAAAAUAAAAUGAAUUUGAAAUCCAUAAACACAACUACUAUAAUUUCUGAAUGUAUUAUUCUAGCCACUUUACAGUUCUCUUAACUUGGGUAUCUGAGAGCACAACAGGACUUAAGCUGGUAAAAGAAGAGAGAGAUCAGUGGUAGGGGCUGAAGAGACAUGAAUGUAUAACAGAGAACAAGCAGAGAAGUGUGUACGGGAGACAAACCCAACCCCUAAAGUCUGAAAAAUCUAGGGAGAUUUUAGCUAGAAAAUUGUUUAAUAUGAUAAGGAAUAACUCAAAGUUUUGAUCAAUAAAUGCAAAUCACUAAAAAUAUCAAUAAAAUCUUUAAUGCCUACAAUUUCUUGUAUACAUAAAUUGCAAAACAUUCACCUGUAUAUGCAAAAGUAUUUUCUCUUGCAGGUCAACAGCACCAGAAAACAAGCUAAGCUAUGUAAAGGUUGUUUUUUUU